CCUUAUAAACGCACUUUAACAAUUGUCUAUGGAUGAUAACUAUGAUUUGAACGCACAUCCUAACUUUUUUUUUGACAUUUGUCAUCUGUCAUCUGUCAAAUUAUCAAUCUAUUGACACUGACAGGUCGGCUUUCAUAAUUAUUUGUUAAAUUUGUUUAUUGUUUUAUUGAAUUCAACGCAGUGAUAUUUGCCUACGGAUACCAACGCCAAGGCCCACGGAUGGAGAGGUCGCCAGUGGUGCCUUAAUAAGUGGAAGGAACUAGCCAAGCUCAAUAGCGAAGGGACGGGACAAGGAGUGAUAAGCAAAGGAGAAAAUUAAACAUGAAACAUAACAUUAAACAUAAAAGGUAUGGAGUGAUUAUAAGAAUAAUACAAAGAGAAAAUGCUCCCAAAUUGCCUAAGGGGGCACAGUGAAUGGUUGAUGGUUCAGCCCUAAAAUGGAUAUGUCAGAU